rnacentral:rRNA from 1 species
AACAAACGCUGGCGGCGUGCCUAAUACAUGCAAGUCGAACGGGGUAGCAAUACCUAGUGGCGCACGGGUGAGGAACGCGUGGAUAAUCUGCCUUAGAGCGGGGGAUCACUAGUGGAAAGAUUAGCUAAUACCGCAUAAGACCACAGGAGCUGCGGCUCUAGGGGUCAAAGGUUUUUCGCCCUUUGAUGAGUCCGCGUAAGAUGAGCUAGUUGGUGAGGUAACGGCUCACCAAGGCGACGAUCUUUAACUGGUCUGAGAGGAUGAUCAGUUACACUGGAACUGAGACACGGUCCAGACGCCUACGGGAGGCAGCAGUAGGGAAUAUUGCACAAUGGAGGAAACUCUGAUGCAGCGACGCCGCGUGAGUGAUGAAGGCCUUCGGGUCGUAAAGCUCUGUCGCAGGGGAAUAACACAAUGAAUGUACCCUGUAAGAAAGGAUCGGCUAACUUCGUGCCAGCCGCCGCUGUAACAC